rnacentral:lncRNA from 13 species
CACUAUUUGUAGGAUUCAGCCCCAGAUGCCUUCUUGUUUUUCCUACAUAUUAAUAAAGGAAAUAAAUAAAAAAGGAUGUAAAGCUUGGUUAAACUCAAAAACAGAUCAGAGAGGAGAGAGCUGAGGAUGGGAUGGUGCUGGGAAGACGUUCAGCCUUGCUGUGCUGCUGCUCACAGACUCCCUGCUUUGAAGGAGACAUGAAAGGAGACAUUGCAACAUGACAGUUGCAAACUCUGUGGCUCUGUUGAUUUUUCCAACCCCCACGGCUGCCUGCCUCGGCGUCCUGUUCUUUGAACCCACACAGAGUAAACAGGUGUCACUCCUGUGGCUCUGUGGGCAGGAGAUGUGUUCCCAGAAGGAGCACUGGGGGCAGGCAGGAAAAGCCCCCGCUGCCAUCCUGGAGAGCAGCAUGUGGCAGUCAGAACACUCGGGCUGAAAAAGGGGGGAAAGAGAGAGAGAGAGAGAGGAACAAAAAUCAAGAAAACCUUCCAUAGAGGAAGAUCUCCUUGUGAAUGAAAGGAUCCCCAGGACUUCUCAAAACCUCCAGCCAGAGCCUCAGGCACUCACGGGAAUUUAUCCGAAGAUCUCUUCCUCUUUAGCAUCGUGUCACUGCCAGCUGCACCACGGGCUGCGGAGCUGGUCGGCACCACCACGCAGCUCUGCCCUUCCCACGGACCAAGUGGAGCGGCUGUCGAGGGGAAAGUCAGCUAUGAAAGGAGUGCCUGGAAAGCUCAAGAAGAAAGCUCAGCCUCUUAACACUGGCUCCACAGAGCGCCGUUAACUGGGAUUAAGAAAGUCCACUAAUGCUUCCCAGCACCAGGAUUUCAGCAGCACGGAGACUCCCGAGGCAGAGAACCGCGACGGCAAAUCCAGCAGGAUCUCAAGGCAGCAGCUGCCUCUCCAUGCAGAUGCCGUUUAACUCCGGAUUUAUGUGCAUCCCACUUCAGAAAAUCGGCUGGAAAUCCAUCGUGCCUCCCCGUCACGGACAGUGGAGCGGUGGCACGGGGCUCCCAGCGCAUCCCCAGAGCUCCCAGCACAUUCCCAGAGCUCCCAGCACGUCCCGGCUGACCAGCAGAUGA